rnacentral:rRNA from 1 species
GACGAACGCUGGCGGCGUGCCUAACACAUGCAAGUCGAGCGAAGUUAUUCCUUCGGGAAUAACUUAGCGGCGGACGGGUGAGUAACACGUGGGUAACCUGCCUUAUAGAGGGGGAUAGACUUCCGAAAGGAAGAUUAAUACCGCAUAACAUUGAGCUUUCGCAUGGAAGCUUAAUCAAAGGAGCAAUCCGCUAUAAGAUGGACCCGCGGCGCAUUAGCUAGUUGGGGAGGUAACGGCUCACCAAGGCGACGAUGCGUAGCCGACCUGAGAGGGUGAUCGGCCACAUUGGGACUGAGACACGGCCCAGACUCCUACGGGAGGCAGCAGUGGGGAAUAUUGCACAAUGGGGGAAACCCUGAUGCAGCAACGCCGCGUGAGUGAUGAAGGCCUUCGGGUUGUAAAGCUCUGUCUUUGGGGACGAUAAUGACGGUACCCAAGGAGGAAGCCACGGCUAACUACGUGCCAGCAGCCGCAGUAAAAC